AGCAGAUCAGAGUAGAAAGGAGAGCAGACCCAGGGCUCACUUGCCAUUCUCAGUGGCCUUAUAGGCGCUUAAGUUUCCUCAGCUCUCUUCUUUACUAAGGACCCAGUAAUCAGUCCAUAAGGCCUGCUUUGCCACCUGUGAAUUCACUGAAAUUGUCACAAUUUUUGGAGAUGGCUCAAGGUAGUAAUGCAGAAUCUAUGGAUAAGGUGGCUUGGCUGUAUUUACAAAGGUCAGAUUAAAGUUCACAUCUGAGGCAAAA
ensembl:processed_transcript Gm42716 predicted gene 42716